CCCCUGUAUCCCAACUGGCAGAGGAAGCGGACUCAAAACCCGCACAGUGUGGGUUCGACUCCCACCGGGGGCACACCA
rnacentral:tRNA from 1 species